CCAGCUUUUUUAAAAUUUUUUUUUAUUUUAGUAGAGACAAGGUCUUGCUAUGUUGCCCAGUCUAGAAAUUAGAUUUUUAUAAAAAUUUAUACUAAUGUCAUAAUUUCAACCCAUUUCUAGCAUACCCACUCGCCAAACAGCUCUAAUAGCUGUUCCCCAUCCCAAAGCAAACUCUCAAGAUCCAAAAUAGUCUAACAAACAAACAAAUAAGACCCAAACUUUAAGGACUUUGAGCUUUGCCAAGAUAGGCUUUUAUCUAACUCCUAUUGGGAAUGAUAUUCAGGCUACAGAUGAGUUAUUUUAGUUUUGCCUUUCUAGAGUCAACAGAAACACUGAAGCUUAAGUUUUCUAACUGUCCCCUUGAUCUGUUCCCUCGAGCACCCUGGAUUUUAUUAUCUGACUAUAAUAGCUAGAAUAUAGGGGUCAGAUAAAUACCGCUAACAAUUUAUUUUUUGGAGUUUAUAUUGAAAGUGUGAAGCUAUCUGUUUUAUGACCUUAAAUUAUCAUUCGUGAGGAAGAUGGAAGAGAGAUGAGGGCCUGAGGGGGUAGGCAUUAGGGAAAUGAGAAUUUUUGACAUGAGAGACUGACAUGAAAAAGUAACCCCAAAAUAUUCAGGUAAUAAAACCAAUGCAUUAUUGAUCAGCCCAUCAGAUUAUGUGUUGUUUAGUUUCUAGUGUCUGUCUUUUAGAGUAUAUAGGGAGUUGGGAAGGCUUUGGGGGUUUUGGGGGGAGGGUAGGGAGGAGGUCCCUCUACUCCAUUUAUCAUCUCUCUUGAACUGCAGAAUUGGGUUUUAAAAUCCAAGUUAGCGUAACCCCCAGUCAGAAUGAAGCUUGGUUGCCUGCAUAUAGCAACAAAGUUAGGAGGAAAUAGUCUCAAUGAUUAGACUCUCAUCAUCUCAGUAAUACGAGAAAUUGCAAUUAAGGGUAAUUCAGUAAGGAUUUGGAAGCCUGAAAUUGCUCCAGAAGUAAAAAGUCUUGCUAGACUCCUGCAUCUUUUGGUUCAGUUGCCAUUUAUUGCUGCCACACAACCCAGUAAGCAUGCCAAUGUAUACUAUGGCUAAAUAUGAUGCUCUAACCUUGGACCAUUGCUCAGUAGCCAGUGGCAGAUUGGAGUGGAGGUAAAAGUACUCAUAACUUGGUGCCCCACAGUUAUUUGUGGGAAUACAUAUUUCCUCCACUAAAUGGUAAGCUCCCGGAGGACACAAAAUAUACUUUAUUAAUUCCUUUAUCCUCCAUCAGGCCUAUCAAGUAUUUUGUAUGUAUUAGAAACUAUUUUUGUUGUUAGAAGUACAGAUUCUGGGCUCACACCUGUAAUCCUAGCACUUUGGGAGGCUGAGGUGGGUGGAUCACUUGAGUCUAGAAGUUCAAUACCAGCCUAGCCAACAUGGCGAAAGCUCAUCUGUACAAAAAAUACAAAAAUUAGUUGGGCAUGGUGGCACACACCUGUGGUCCCAGCUACUCAGGGGGCUGAGGCAAGAGGAUCGCUUGAGCCCGGGAGGUCAAGGCUGCAGUAAGCCGUGAUUGUACCACAGCACUUUAGUCUAAGCAACGGAGCAAAACCCUGUCUCAGAAAUAAGUAAAUAAAUUAAAAAGUACAGAUUCUGGAGCCCAGUAGAUAAGGAUUCAAAUUCUGAGUGCCAACAUGACUGUGGUUUGGUGUUUAAAGUUGUAAUUAGGAAUUCACCACUUACCACCUUCAUCCUCUUCCUGGCAUUAACUCCUGUAAGCUUCAGUUUCUUCUUUAGAAAUGUGGAUAAUUGAUAGCACCUACCUCAUAAGGAGUUUGAGAGGGUUAAAUGAGAUUGUUCACAUAAAGCACUCAACAAUGUGUCUGGCAUUCAGUAAAUGUUGCUAUUAUCAAUGGAGGUUGUGCAGUAGGUUUUCAAAGAAGGUGUAUUAGGUUGUUGAAUUAUGGAUCAUGCUUGUGGUGCACAAGCAAGCGAACACAGUUGAGGUACAGCAAUGGAAAAUUGCAGGUGAGGCUGGCUUCAGAACGACAUGCCCAGGGACUCAAAUGAUGGCACCCAGACCUGGUUUCUCUCAUUUCAUAAUCAGUGUUGCAUUCACUGUGUUUGCUCCAUUCUCAGACAGCCUCUCAUCUCCAGGUCAAGACCUGGAAGAGUCUGCUUCCCUUUAAGUCAAAUCAAAGCUUCAGCUAGGUCUUGUUGGCUUGCAUUGGGCGAAUGAAGAUUAUGCACCUGUGCCUGAGCCAUCCUCUGAGGCCAGAGGAUGCAGUGUGCUUGGGCCUUGUUCACGUGCUCAUGCCUGGAGUGAGGGGGCAGACAGCUACACCUAAACCAUAUUGACUAAGAGUGGAGGCAGGGCUGGUUCCUCAGAGGGAAAUUAAGGUGCAUGUUCUAAAAGAAGGUGAAUAACUGCUGUGUAGAAAAAGGUUUUGAAAGGUGGUAAAUAAUUAAUAUAAAGUAGCAUUGAUGCUUCAAGAAGAUAUACCACUAAGGUAUAUCUUCAUUCGCCCAAUGCGCGCCAACAGGGUAUUGAAAAAGGUAGGAAAUAAUUAAUAUACUACAUUAUGUUAUAUAUUAGUGUUAUAAAUCUUGGGUUUCAGGAAAUGGAAAUCUUAUUUUGUAAUUUGUAACAGUAAAGCAAGUAGGAGAGAAAGGGAAAUAGAUUUAUAUUGUAUCAAUUUAGCUAAACUGGAACUGGGUUUCCCUGAAUUUUUUUCCCAGCAUGGUUGUGGAUUGAUUGGGCCACAGCAGAAGCUUUGUCCAAGAUUUGGAAGGUGGGAGUUAAGUGCCUAUUCUUUUUAUGCUCAGAAGGUCAGUCCAGGGCAUUAGAGCCACUGUAGCUCACAUACAUUGUUGCUUCUCUGCUGGCUCACCUGACAGGCAUGAGGCAGCAGCUGGGUCCACCAGCCCUUAUAGAGCCUGCCAGAUUGCUCCUUCAGCUUCCGCGACCCCCAGGCCAGGUGUGUAUUUACUCCUGACUAAGGUGCCGCUGUUCUUCAAAGUGAUCCUCACGUGGAAGUGGUAGGCCUGGAGGUAGGGAGAUACCAUCAUGGGUUCCAGUCUGUCUGGAGGCCCAGCUCUUCCCCACAGGCUCCAGUUUGUCUUUACCUUCUCCAACUUCAUGUCCAUCUUUCCUUGCCAACUACCUUCCCUGCAGACUGCAGACCCAAGCACCGGGUGCAGAAGCCAUAGCAUAGAGCUUUUAAUGAUCUCCCACAAUUGCAUAAGGUCCAAUCCUUAAAACAAAUCCAUUAGUCUAUAUCACUCCUAGUGGUUCUGCUUCUCUGAUUGAAUUUUGGAACAUGGAAUGAAACAUAUGGACUUUAAAGUCUGACAGCCUGGCUGUACCACUUACAACUGUGUGAUCUUAGGAAACUCACUCAACCUCUCCGAGCCUUACUUUCCUCAAGUGUUAAAUGAGAACACUAAUCCUUUCCUUUUAGGAUUGUUGUGAUAUAAUAAAUAAAAAUCACUUAACAAUGCUCAAACUUCAACAGCAUUCAACAAUGUUUUUGAGGCUUUCAGGUUUUGGGAAUACAUUGAAGAACAAGGCAAGCAUAUCCCUGACCUGAUCAUGCUUAGGGUUUAGCUGGGGAUACAGGCAAGUUAACUAGAGUGUGGUAAGUACAGUGUGGUAAGUAUUCCUACAAGGAAAAGAAGGAGUAGGAUGGGAGGACUAGCUUCAUCUUGGUGGUGAGUAGGGGAGAGGAGUAUGUCAAGGAAGGAUUCCCAGAGGAAGUGGCAUCUACACUGAGCCCCAGGGACAGAUGGGAAUCUUCUGUCAUUUUAGGAAGAGGGUAUUAUGUGUGCAAAGCUGAUAGGCAAGGGAAAGCCUGGAGGUUCUCAUCAUCGUUAGGGUUCAUAUUGCAGAUGCCAAGUGCUGGCCGUGCCAGCCCCCACCACCAGCGAGUGGGUCGUAUGUCCAGAGCAGGGAGGAGGCAUGGAAACUGGGAGGUGCCAGAGCCCAGGGAGCAGAGCAACCAGGAGCCCGGGGGCCUCAUGGAAUAACCUAGACUGGCUGUGAGCACACCCUGGACUGGGAAUGGAAAUAUAAGGCUAUUUUAGGGCAGUGUUCUAGCAAGUAAACAUGACUUCCUAAGAAGAGGAAAAGGACAAAGGGCAGAAAGGAAGGAGCCAGAUGCCAUCAGUUACACAAUGUGCCAGUGAAGGCCAUGGGAAACCAUGUGAGGGGAGGGAGGAAGCUGCAAUCCGUGUGUGGGUUUUUGCUGAAUUGGAGUUUCCUCUCUCCUCUCCGGGACAUGUUGUGCUAUGCCAUGUUGUGCUAUGGCAUUUGAGAUUAUCUGGGGGCCAGAAGGACUUCAUAUCCAAGUGAUAAUAAGGGUAUAUCCUCUUGAAGCAUCAAUGCUACUUAAAGAUUGCUUUUUUGAGGGAAAGCCUAUCUUAUUUUAAAAAUGUAUCUAAUAGAUAUUUCAUAGAACAGAAUGCAAAUAUGUUUUGGGUUUUUGCUUAGGAUAAAAUAUGGGCCUUCAAGGAAAUGCCUCCACUGGGGAGAGCUGGUCCCUGCUCUUCCCUUAGACCCAGGUUAGCCAGUAUGAGGUUACUUUGUUCUGGCAUUGAGAGUACUUGGCCAGAGAAAGAGAAGUUUAAAGCCCAGGUGAGAGUCUAGCCUGAACUUUCUUUUCUCUGAAGGCUAUGUCUUGCCAGCCCCCCAUCUCCAGGACGGGCUACAUGAUCUGUGGGACCCAGUGCAAAAUGAAAUUAUUAAAAAUUUCAAGAUGGGGACAGCAGUGCACUAAAAGCAUGGGACCCUUCUAAGCAGAGGGCUCUGAGUGAUCGGGCAGGCCCCACACCUAUGAAGCUGGCUCUGCCCACCUCCCUCCCCUCAUCCCAGCACCUAUCUGGGACAUUUCUGAGGUACAGCACCAGCUAAAGAGAGAAGAGAUAGAGACUUUCCCCUUGUAUGUCUUAUUUAUAAUCUUUUCAUGCCUCCCACAGGAUCUCUGUCUUCUCCAAAUUGUUGGGAAGAUGGAGGACAGGGCAUGAUUCCAUGGAGGUUUCAUUUUGUUGAUUGGUUCUGCAGAUGUCUUUGAUGCCCGCCUGAGUUUCUUCACAGAAGUCUUUGGGCUGAAAAGAAUCUAGAGUCAUCUCCAGUGAUGAAGAGUCCCGAUGAUUAAUGAAACCACCUUUGCGAAGAUUAUGACAGCAAGAGGAGUCUAACAUGACCAACUCCAUCUUGCUUCUAGCCUCACAGACUGGCUGUCUUCACGCAUUCCUGGGCAUAGGAAGCUAACCAUGGAAGGGAUUUAGUUUCUAGUUUAAUGUGGAAGCAAGGAUGACAAUCCCUCCCUAAAACUGAUCCCCUCCUUGUUCAGGAGCUGAAACCACCUUUGUAAAACUGAUGAAAGACCGCAAGAUUAGAACUAUGGGAGUGGCCUAAAUUCUGCUAAAAUAUAGUUUCUAUAAUCCCUUACUACUCAGGAGUCAUGUGGCCAGAGGUCACAAGAUUUGUGACUUCCCCUAUUGCUCCUAUAGAUAACAUUAUGAUUGUAGAACUUAAGAUUGAUCUUUUGAGAUGUUUUUCAGACUUUUGCAUUUUGGCCACUGACCGACGCUACUGACUCAUGACUCAGCCGGUCCCAUGGCCCCCACCCAGAGGCAGACUCAGUGCAUGAGGACCAUCUUCCACAACCCUAUGAUUGUAUCCUCAGUCAGUCAGCAACACGUAUUCCCUAGUCCCCUACCCACCAAGGUAUCCUUAAGAAACCCUAACCUCCAAGCCUUCAGGAAGACUGAUUUGAGUAAUAACUCCAUCUUCCAUGUGGCCAGCCUAGUGUUAAUUAAACUCUUUCUUUACUGCAAUACCACAAUCUCAGUAAAUUGGAUUUGUCUGUGCAGAGGGUAGACCAAAUCCAUCAGGUGAUUGCAUUAAGAGUUGUUCUCUUCCUUGGCAAGGGAGAGGACACCUUUAUAAACGCAUAACCUAAAAAUAAAAUCCUAAGCCCACACUGACUGAACAGAUCCUUCUUGGCCAUGGAGACACAAAAAACCUUAAGAACUGAAUUUCCAACCAUGACAGCAAGUGAGGUUGAACACACUUUUUUAUACUCCCUCCCUUCUGGAGUUUAGGCACAACUGACCAGUAUUAAUGUUAAAAUAGAGAUCAUAAGACUGACAAAACAGACUCUUUGUGACAGUAAGAUACCAAAUUGUAAACAGGACCUAUGACCAUGCCAGACAAGGGUUAAGUCACAUCCCUACAGGUCACUCUGACCCAGUGUAUUGGGUAAUGAACCUCCUUAACUUAAACAUUCCUUUCUACCGACUUCAAAUCUUUAGACAAAGCUUAAUUUUUUCAACCAAUUUCCAACUAAAGAAUCCCCAAAACCCACCUAUGACUUGUAAGUGCUCUUCUCCCCACCUCAGGAUGUCCUGCCUUUUUGGGCUGAACCGAUAUUGUCUUCCAUAAAGUGAUUUAUGUCUUUAGCUGUAAUUCCUAUCUCCUUGAAAUGUAUACAACCAAACUAUAACCCGACUGCUUUGGACACACUUUCUCUGAUUUUUUUUUUUUUUUUUUUGACAUAGUCUCCCUCUGUUGCCCAGGCUGGAGUGCUGUGGAAUGAUCUCGGCUCACUGCAGCCUCUACCUCCGGGGUUCAAGUGAUUCUCAUGCCUCAGCCUCCCGAGUAGCUGGGACUACAGGUGCCCACCACCAUGCCCAACUAAUUUUUGCAUUUUUAGUAUAGACAGUGUUUCACCAUGUUUGCCAGGCUGGUCUUGAACUCCUCACCUCAAGUGAUCCACCUGCUUUGGCCUCCCAAAGUGCUGAGAUUACAGGUGUGAGCCACUGUGCCUGGCCAUGAGCGCACUUUCUCAAGACCACUUAAGGUUGUUUUUCUCCAGGUCAUGGCCCUUCAUGUUGGCUCUGAAAAAUCUCUUUAAACUGUUUUGCAGACUUUGGUUUUUCCAUUAAAAAUGGAAAGUCAUGUCCUGCUUUUAGCCAGAUAGGGGGAGGGCAGAGAGUUUUUGUUUGUUUGUUUGUUUGUUUUUUGUUUUCUGUCUGCUGUUUCUUGAUUGUCUUCAGCUCAAAAUAAUUCUUAUGCCAAAGUGGCAUAUUUUGGGGUGUCAUAUUCUGGUUCCCUUCACCACAUUUUGUUUAUCCAUUCAUCCAUUGAUGGACACUUGGGUUGUUAGGCUUUUUAAAAAUACUCCCAAAAUGUCUUAUCAAGACAUUAAUUUGAAACAAGUGCAGUGCUCUCUCUAAAAGGAAUUCUACUGAAUAAAAUUUCUCCAUUGUUACCAACAGCAGACUGUGUUUUGGCUGCCAGGUUAAAAAAGCAAGUUAAACCAGCAUUAAGUAAAUAAUCGACCAUUAUUUCAGAAGGGUGUCUUCAUCUAUCUGAGAGUUCCAGAAUCCCCAUCUGCAAAUGCUGGCUAAAUAGUGAUCUUCACUUGUCAUUGCAAC
rnacentral:lncRNA from 1 species